rnacentral:misc_RNA from 1 species
CUACAAACUCUACAAAGAACACCACACACACACACAAGCCAGCAACAAAAAAAGGGCAUAAUCAAAAAGAAAAAGGUACCCCCCCCUAUCUACACACACACGCGCACCCUCACAUAGGUAUAUAUAUAUACCACAUUCCAGAACAGGCCUCCCUCGUAUUUAUUUUUCCUGUUUUUCGUUCUCUCUCUGUUUUCCUCUCUUGCUGGCUUGGCUUGUUUACGUUGCACUCUCAUUGUCUCUUCAGCGCCUCUCUCCCGCACGCACACACACACACACACUCGACGCCCUCUACAUUUACGUGCGUGCUCCCUUUGUUGUUGUUUUCUCGGAGAAUAGAAGACCGAAUAAUACAGCUGUGAGUAGUGAGUGCGUGGGCGGUUUAGCGAGCCAAUCUCGAUAGCAUCGACAAGACGCAAAAAAGACAAGCAGCCUUGCACUCUCUUGCAUACUUACGACCCAGUCGCCCACAACGAUACAUACGCACCGAUACGGUCACUGUGUACCCUCCUUCCUCCUCCCUUUUGCGUCCUUUUUGGGGGGGGCUCUUGCUGGCGUAUUCUGUAGCGCUUGUUUUGGACUUCAGCGCAUCGUUGGGGUACCUGGCACCAGUCAUAGUCCUCCGCACCCUCCUAGCAACGCUGUAGCUUGCCAAACAUCCACAUUGCAAGACGAUCGAAAUGUACUCGGAACAGAGCUGGAACGAUCACCACAGCGUCUCAGGCACGCAGCGCUUUACGCGUGGCGGCGGUAUCGGCAGCAUCAACCCUAGUGGCCGCGGCGGGGCUGGCGGCUACGACGUGGGAAGCGCAGCCGCCGCAGGCGGGUACAACAGCGUCGCGGCCGCACGUCAGCAGUCUCCACAGCCCACAUCCUUUUACCCUCCUGUAACCUCGCGCUUUACUCCUAUGGACUUCGAGCUUUUUAUCAACAGCAACCGUGACCCCACCGAUGAGAUGCGGCGUUCGCAGGAGUACUACUACUGGUACCACAGCAAGCAGCCUCGAGACCCCCGCGUGCCGCAACCGCUACCCUCUCUGGAGGUGCAGGAAACAUUCACCACCAUGGAGACGCCGUGGGAGGAUGUGAGUGCGAUGCCCUCCUCUACUGCUGUUCGCGCAGGUACUGCUAGCGGCUUGGGGCGCAAGAUGGGUGGCAAGAGCCUCGCCCUCGACGCCAAGGAUCUUUGCGAAACGCAGGAGGCGCAGGCCAUCAACCCGUACGGGCACAGCCUCAUCACCGAGAGCAACAUGAUGAGCCCUAGCACGCAGUUCUUUGCGGCGUAUGCCCCAACACCGCUGGCAAUGGCAACCCCCAGCACCCUCCGCGCCUACGCGCACGGUCACUUGCCCAUGCCUUCAUCCGGCAACCGCGGCAGCUAUGAGGGGGAGAUGGCCGGCGGAGUCACGUACGGCCGCGGCACCGCGCCCGCCGCCAAGAGUAUCGCCUCACAGCAGUACUACACGCAGGAGCCCAUGAACGCCUUUGGCCUCUACAACACUGGAGUGGACCCCGGUUCCAACUACUACGACGCCACGCAGGGCAGCAGCAGCAACGGUCUUGGCGCUGGCCACGGCAAUCCAUACCAGCUGAUGGAAGGCAUGGGUGAGGUAGACCCAACCAUGUUGUACAGCCAGCCUGGGACGGACUGCGGCUUCCAGAGUCGCGGCACAGGCCGUGGCGGGAAUCGUCGCUACAACAACAACAGCGCUGGAGGUGGCGUUGGCGGUGGGCGUGUUGGCCGGAACAACUACCGUGGUGGACGCGGCGCUGGUGGUAUGGGCAGCAUGGAGAGUGGCAGUGGCCCGAACAGCCACCGCUUUGUCGGCUCGGAGAAGCUGCGCAUGUUUCGCCACGACGUGGCGGAGCAGAAGACGUCACAGUGGCGCCUGGACGACCUCAAGGGCUACGCUGUGGAGUUUGCCAAAGACCAGGAGGGCAGCCGUUUCAUCCAGAGUGCCGUCGACACGGCCAGCCCCGAGUCGCUGGACGUCCUCUUCCACGAGAUCUUUGAAUCUCCGCUAGAGCUGGUGACGGACAUCUUCGGCAACUACGUUCUGCAGAAGCUCUUGGACAAGGGCAACACGCCGCAGCUCACCUUUGCGGCGGAGCGGAUGUGCGGCCAUGUAGUGGAGCUCACCAUGCAGACGUACGGGUGCCGUGUGAUUCAGAAGUGCAUAGAGGUGAUGCCUUCAGCUGGCCUGGACAUCAUUCUCGCCGAGCUCAAGGACAACGUGGCAAAGUGCAUCCAGGACCAAAACGGCAACCACGUCAUCCAGAAGUGCGUCGAGGUCAUUCCACAACGGUGUGGCUUUAUUAUUUCGGCCUUCUCGGGUCGAGUGAUGGAGCUGGCCACGCACGCGUACGGGUGUCGUGUGAUUCAGUGCAUCAUGCAGCACUGCCCUGAGCAGGAGGAUACCAUCUUCAACGAGCUCCUCAAGGCGGUCGAUGUGCUGGCGAAGGAUCAGUACGGCAACUACGUGAUUCAGCACGUUUUGCAGAACGUAAAAGAUGAGAGCAAGAUCGAGUCCGUCUACGCGGCGCUGAAGCCCAAGUUCUUCUACCUGAGCAAGCAGAAGUUUGCCUCGAACGUGAUGGAGAAGCUCUACGCCCGCUCGAGCCCUGCGAACCGCAUGGAGAUUGUGGAGAUGAUGUGCGCCGACUUCCCCAGCAAGGCAGAUCACGUGGAGAUCGUCGCCUUUAAGCGGUCCGCGACAAAGACUGCGGCGAUAGUGAACGCGGAGGAGGGUACUUGGCCGCCGACGAGGAGCAACGCCGAUGGCACGGUAAAAGAGGUGAAGGAGAAGAACCGCGAGGCGAAGGAUGCGGCGAUGGGCAUCAUUGAGGAAGUCGUCUCGGUGGGCCUCGGUCAGCCCAGCAUGCUCUGCCUCAUGAUGAGCGACCAGUACGCCAACUACGUGGUGCAGCGCGUCCUGGACGCGUCCGAGGUGGACCAGUUCGUGAAGCUCGUCGACAACAUCGAGAAGUAUAUACUGCCGAUUCGCACCUACACCUACGGCCGCCCCAUUGUGCAGCGGCUUUCUCGCCGCAAGCUAGUGCUCGCCCCGGGCGACGAGGCGGGAGAGGCAGGUAGCACCAGUAUGAGUAGCCACAAUCACAACGAGGGUCGCGCCAACCAUAAUGAGGGCCGCUCCAACCACAACGAGGGCCGCGCCAACCACCACCGCCGCUAAAGCAACAAAGUUAGGACCCGUGAGGGCAGACAAGGCUAGCCGCGACAUGUCGUUCUCUAUUCUCGUGUGUGUGUGUGUGUGCUUUUUGGUUUUCGCUUUUUCUGAGCCUCUCACCCCUCCCCUCCCCUCCCCUCCGCCUCGCUGUUCGGCUGCCCAUGAUGCGCUUCGCUUCACACACACACGCGCACAGCACCUCGCUUUUGAUGCUGCGUGCGUGUUGGUGGAUGAUGGUGCCGUUUUGAUUUGGGUAGCUUCCCUCCCCCCUCUCCCCUGCCCUUGCCGCUGCACUCGGACUCCAUGGAGACUCUGGUGUGUGCAUCUUCUUCAUCUUUCCUCGACUAUUUGUUCCACCGAGCCUCUCCGCGUUCGCUUCUUCGGGCGCCUUCCCCCCCCCCCCACGCGUCUCUCGCCCUCUUCUUGUGAACGGAGGGGGAGAAUGGAUGGCGUGUUUACGCCUCUCCCGAUUCCGCGCCUCGCCCCUUUCUCUUCUUUCCCCUCCUGACCCCUUCUCCGAUGUAUGUUCCGGUGUGUAUUACGUUGCCUUCAGUUCUUUAGGCAUAAGCGUCUGAGUGAUUUGCUCUUGCUCUGCGAUUAGUUCUUCUUGCCUUUCUUCUCUCUUCGACAGGUGGUGCGCUCUAGCACCUUUCCACCUUUCUCUCUCUCAUAAUAUAUCAUAUUGGGUCUUUUUGUUUGGUGUCUGUGUUCGGCUUGGUUUUCUCUUCAGGUUGUGUGACCGUGUGCGCGCCGGUGAGCGAGUCGACGUACACACGCAGAUGCACCUUCGCCAGCACGCACACCCUUGACAGACGCGUCCUCCUCUCCACCCCCCCCCCAACCCCUUUCCUUCUCUGCGCUGUCGCAGCGCCACUGGUAAAGAACGAGAAGUGAAAGGAAAGAGCCACCGACUUUACGAAAACGAUAAAGUGAUGUGACUUGGAGAGAGAUCCGUCGGGUGUGCGUGUGUGUGUGUGUUUUCUGAUUGAUCACUUCUUCGCCGUACGCGCUCUCUCCCUAAAUUUACCUCCGUCGUCUUUCUCUCCCGUUUUUCGUUUCGUCGUUUUUUUUUCGCUUUUUUUUCGUCUCUGUUUCGAACUCUGGGCUAUCUCCAUCUACCAGCUGUAUCACGAAACGGUAGAACAAAUAUAUACAAGAAAACGAAAAGACAUUUGCACGCACCCGAACCCACACAGAGACACGCAACCACAAACGCAAGGAAGAAGAAGGCUCUGCAUGUUUCUCCAUCUCUUUUGGGGGAGAAGGUGGAGUACGUCUUGUGUGCUCAGGGGACAUCACCCCUCCAUCCCUUCCCCUCCCUUCAUCUCCCCCGCAAAGGAAAAAAAAACAAUCUCCUUUCCGUUAACCGCCAAACCCCUUCACGCACCUCCCGAUACAGGACUGAGAUGCGGAGGGAAAGUGAAAGGGUAAAGGAAACGGACGGGCAAGUGCGACCAAGUGUAUCUGGAACUCCUCUUGCGAACCACAGACUCCAUCCCCACAUCCUCGCGCACAUAUGCGUCACGAGCAGUGUCACAGGAAGACGAAACGGGCGGCGAAGUCGGCCAAGGCGUCACGAGCCGUUGUUGCCUCUCUCUCUCUCGUUGAUCGUCGCUCGUGAUCGUGCGGUUCGGUGUGCAUGUGCACGUGUGUCUACGUCAGUGUUCUCUUCCGACGAAGGGUCAGUAUUAGAUUCGGCUCUCUUUGUUUGAGGUGUGCGCCUUCUUUCUUGUUGUUUUGGCUGGUUCUUUUCGUUUUGCGGGUCUCUUUCCAGCUGUUCACGAGUCUUCUUCCCUUUUCUUUGUGUGUGUGUGUGUGUGUGUGGCUUUCGUUGUGUGCAUGUUCGUGUGCUUUCCUUUGUUGUUGUUUUGGUCUUUGCCGACGAAGCAAUAAACGGCUCCUACAUUUCCCGCGUUUUCUUCGUGUCUCUUUUCCCGCCUCCCUUCCCCGUGGAACUUUCACUCGCCGUCGCCGUUUCAGGUCAUCUCCCGCGCAGCAGCCGCGGUCUUUGUCCAGUGCGAUUCGGCUUGCUUUGAUCGCCCCCCAAAACGCACACGCGCGACCGAAGCGAACAGCACGUGCUGUGCAAGAGCAAAGCAAAAAAAAAAAGAAGGGGCCAGAUAGAAGGCCGUCAUGGCGUUAGGCCUCAGGGAUGAGGCCGCUGAUGGAGUACAGAAGAAAAAGGCCAGCAUAAGUGCUCGCGCCAGCGGAAGGGAUAAACAUGCGUUAGGAGGGGGCGUGUAAGUCUGGCAAGCGACUCUCGUUUAGUUUUUUUUUGUAUCUUCUCGCCUUCUGACUUUGCCUUCACACUCGCCUUCCCUCCUACCUAAGCAUCACUGUAAACCAAGCUUCAACAAACUACCUCACCACAUGUUUUCCUUUUCCUUGAGCUCUCCCCAUACACACAAGCACGCAAUCUUUUCGCUGCUUCCACUUCUCUUCCUCUCCCCCAUCACCCUCGCCUGACAACGAGGACAACCCUCCUUGCCGCCGUGAUACUUGGCAACGGAGAACGAACGAAAACAAAAGGAAGAGAGGAGACAGGCGGGAAACCUCAUUUGAAGUAUUUAACAAGAGAAAAUUAGAAAAAUGAAAGAAGCAAUGCGACCGUAGAACAUUUACUCUCUCUCGCUCUCUGCCUGUAUUUGUCAGCCCAUGUAAAACAGCUAUGCUAUCUCAUCCCCACCUUCGUCUGUGUUUUGCUUUGUUAUCUGCGCCCACUACCAUUACCAUUUACCUUUUCGCGAUCACUGCCCUUUUUUUUUUCACGUUCUCUUCACAACUACCCUCUACACUUGGCACUCUCCUUUCCCCCUUGCUGGCAAUGUGUGCGUGUGUUCUUGUUUCCAAGUUUCGUCUUUUUCUCUUUUCCUUUUUCUUUGUGUACGCUUGUGUGUGUGUGUGUAUGCUGCUGCUGCUGCUGCUGCUGUGGUUGUUGGAUGUGGCGAUGUCGCGGGUCGCGUCUUCGUGUACGUGUGUGUUUGUGUGAUCAUCGCUGCUUCGCUCGUUCGCUCUUUCACUCUUUCUCUCUCGCGUGCGUGUGUGUGUGUGUGUGUGUUUGCCUGAUUUUUUGUUUCUUCGUUCUUAUGCUCCUUUCCACUUCCUCUCUCCCCCUCUCUCCUCUUUUUUUUUUUCGCGGAGUUAUUUGUUGAUCUCGCCCCCGCUGUUCGAUCCUCCUCGCUCACGUUUUUUUUUAUCUCGUGUUGUUGCCAUCUUCGUUUUCCCCGGCACCGCGUCGGUGUGGUCGUUUGGUGUUGUGUUUCGAUUCGCUUUGCCGCUGUCGAAUACGCCCCACCGUCUUCGGCGGAGGAGGCCGCGAGAACGAGCAAGAGAAAGCAGGGCUGCAAAGCCGGUGCGGAUGAAAAAAGAAGGCGACCGAAAGGCGCGCAAGUCAUUUUUUUUUGUUGCAUGGAAGUUUUUUGAUGAUGUGGUGAUUUUUUGUUUUUCCUUUGGUGCUGUCGCUUGCCAUCGUGUUUGGUGCGUCGGUGAGGAUAUGCCGGUGUGUAAGUGUUUUGUGUAUGUGUUUCGUGUGUUAUAAUGUGUAUUCCUCCUCGUCGUUUUGGUGUUUGUUUUUCUCUUUCUUCUUUUUCCUCACUGUCUCUCUCUCUCUCUCUCCUUUUUUCAAAGAAAAAAAGGAACGUGCGUGUGCGCAUGUGAGUGCUUCCCGAUGCAUGCACGGCGUACGUUUCGAUCAACGCCGCUGGUGCUAUUCUCAUUCGCAGACACGCAUACACAGAGACUUGCACGCGCGCACCUUCUCUCACGCUCUCACUUGGCUACGAUGAAUAGAGAAGAGCAGCGGCAAACAUGGUCAUUGAUGGUCAGCAGGAAAGAAGUGUCUCUUGCGCAAUCUAUGUGAGGCAGAAAGAGAAAGAAAGGACGGCUCGAUAUGCGCUUGACGCAGGCAGCUCUUUUUUUUUUUGUUUUCAUCAGGGGCUCGGUAAACACCACCGGACGCUGAGAAACGCAGGCACGUCUCUCAGCCUCGCACGCACGCUCGGGCCCAUACGCGCGCGCACCGUCAGAGCUGAGAAACAAAAAAGGUUGAACUAACAGAUAGCGACUGAUGGAGCAAGGAAAGUAUUUCUUUUCUUCUGUCUGUUUCUGGUUCAUUGUGCGUGCCCGUGUCGGGAGGAACAUGACGAAGACUCUCCUGGUGGUAAGGACGAUUAUUGCAGUGGGUGCUAUUGCCCUUGUAUCACCACCUCUGUUGUCCAGCAGCACGGCCGGCAGGGGGGUGUACAUGUAAAUGUGUACCGUUGUUGCCCCAAUGUGUUUGGUGCGCGUGGAAGUUGGGGAUGUGGGGACAGAGAGACGAGGGUAGAGAGGUGGUGGUGAAGCGAGGGACAAGGUGCAAAGGAACGUAUACGCACGCCGUGUUGUGUGCAAUGGAAGGAAGUGGAGGGGAAGAGAGACGCUGGCGUGACUCUGCUGCUUGCAAAGGUGCGUCGACUCGUCCUCUCCCUCGCUCUCCUCGUCAUCCACCCUUUUUUUCACCUCCGCACUGCUACCACCAUCAUCGCCACCACGGCCGUCUUUCCUCGCCUCCCUCGGCCCACACACAAGCACAG